AAAAAAAAGGUUUCUGCAACAACUGUUCUUUAACCAUGUCAAAGCAAAUCUCAAAUGUCCACCACCUUGAACGAGGCAAGGUUUAAAAUCGUUUGUGCGUUAGCUUAGAUUUCAUGUCUUGGGAGGCAUGAUUGGGAAUCUCUAAUUAGCAAUUUAGCAUAGAAUUAUGAUCAGGAAAAAAAAUUGAAAUACACAAAUAUAGUCAUGUAGUGUAUAAAGAAAGUGACUGAACUUGAAGGGUUGCCAGAAUUCUCAUGAUAA
rnacentral:misc_RNA from 1 species